rnacentral:rRNA from 1 species
AGUGAACGCUGGCGGUAGGCCUAACACAUGCAAGUCGAACGGCAGCACAGUAAGAGCCUGCUCUUACGGGUGGCGAGUGGCGGACGGGUGAGGAAUACAUCGGAAUCUACUUUUUCGUGGGGGAUAACGUAGGGAAACUUACGCUAAUACCGCAUACGACCUACGGGUGAAAGCAGGGGAUCUUCGGACCUUGCGCGAUUGAAUGAGCCGAUGUCGGAUUAGCUAGUUGGCGGGGUAAAGGCCCACCAAGGCGACGAUCCGUAGCUGGUCUGAGAGGAUGAUCAGCCACACUGGAACUGAGACACGGUCAAGACUCCUACGGGAGGCAGCAGUGGGGAAUAUUGGACAAUGGGCGCAAGCCUGAUCCAGCCAUACCGCGUGGGUGAAGAAGGCCUUCGGGUUGUAAAGCCCUUUUGUUGGGAAAGAAAAGCAGCAGGUUAAUACCCCGCUGUUCUGACGGUACCCAAAGAAUAAGCACCGGCUAACUUCGUG